AGUGAACGCUGGCGGUAGGCCUAACACAUGCAAGUCGAACGGCAGCACAGUAAGAGCUUGCUCUUACGGGUGGCGAGUGGCGGACGGGUGAGGAAUACAUCGGAAUCUACUUUUUCGUGGGGGAUAACGUAGGGAAACUUACGCUAAUACCGCAUACGACCUACGGGUGAAAGCAGGGGAGCUUCGGACCUUGCGCGAUUGAAUGAGCCGAUGUCGGAUUAGCUAGUUGGCGGGGUAAAGGCCCACCAAGGCGACGAUCCGUAGCUGGUCUGAGAGGAUGAUCAGCCACACUGGAACUGAGACACGGUCCAGACUCCUACGGGAGGCAGCAGUGGGGAAUCUUGGACAAUGGGCGCAAGCCUGAUCCAGCCAUACCGCGUGGGUGAAGAAGGCCUUCGGGUUGUAAAGCCCUUUUGUUGGGAAAGAAAAGCAGCAGGUUAAUACCCCGCUGUUCUGACGGUACCCAAAGAAUAAGCACCGGCUAACUUCGUG
rnacentral:rRNA from 1 species